GCCAGUGUGGCAUAGUGGUUUGAGUACUGGGUUAUGGCUCUGGAGUCCAGGCUUAGAUUCCCUGCUCAGCCA